UUUUUAUGGAGAGUUUGAUCCUGGCUCAGGAUGAACGCUGGCGGCGUGCCUAAUACAUGCAAGUCGAGCGAACAGACGAGGAGCUUGCUCCUCUAACGUUAGCGGCGGACGGGUGAGUAACACGUGGAUAACCUACCUAUAAGACUGGGAUAACUUCGGGAAACCGGAGCUAAUACCGGAUAAUAUAUUGAACCGCAUGGUUCAAUAGUGAAAGACGGUUUUGCUGUCACUUAUAGAUGGAUCCGCGCCGCAUUAGCUAGUUGGUAAGGUAACGGCUUACCAAGGCAACGAUGCGUAGCCGACCUGAGAGGGUGAUCGGCCACACUGGAACUGAGACACGGUCCAGACUCCUACGGGAGGCAGCAGUAGGGAAUCUUCCGCAAUGGGCGAAAGCCUGACGGAGCAACGCCGCGUGAGUGAUGAAGGUCUUCGGAUCGUAAAACUCUGUUAUUAGGGAAGAAUAAAUGUGUAAGUAACUAUGCACGUCUUGACGGUACCUAAUCAGAAAGCCACGGCUAACUACGUGCCAGCAGCCGCGGUAAUACGUA
rnacentral:rRNA from 1 species